CCUAGGGUGGCAGCAGUGGGGAAUAUUGGACAAUGGGCGAAAGCCUGAUCCAGCCAUGCCGCGUGUGUGAAGAAGGCCUUCGGGUUGUAAAGCACUUUCAGUGGGGAAGAAAGCCUUGGGGCUAAUACCCUCGAGGAAGGACAUCACCCACAGAAGAAGCACCGGCUAACUCCGUGCCAGCAGCCGCGGUAAUACGGAGGGUGCGAGCGUUAAUCGGAAUUACUGGGCGUAAAGCGCGCGUAGGCGGUCUGAUAAGCCGGUUGUGAAAGCCCCGGGCUCAACCUGGGAACGGCAUCCGGAACUGUCAGGCUAGAGUGCAGGAGAGGAAGGUAGAAUUCCCGGUGUAGCGGUGAAAUGCGUAGAGAUCGGGAGGAAUACCAGUGGCGAAGGCGGUCUUCUGGACUGACACUGACGCUGAGGUGCGAAAGCGUGGGUAGCAAACAGGAUUAGAUACCCCGGUAGUC
rnacentral:rRNA from 1 species